UACGAAGGGGGCUAGCGUUGUUCGGAAUCACUGGGCGUAAAGCGCACGUAGGCGGAUUGUUAAGUCGGGGGUGAAAUCCUGAGGCUCAACCUCAGAACUGCCUUCGAUACUGGCAAUCUCGAGUCCGGAAGAGGUUGGUGGAACAGCUAGUGUAGAGGUGAAAUUCGUAGAUAUUAGCUAGAACACCAGUGGCGGAAGGCGGCCAACUGGUCCGGUACGUGACGCUGAGUGCGGAAAGCGUGGGGAGCAACAGGGG
rnacentral:rRNA from 1 species